CAUCUACUCCCUCCGUCCGAAAUACUUGUCCUAAGGAUGAAUGUAUCUACAUUUAUUUUAGUUAUAAAUACAUCAAUUAUAUCCAUUUUUAGGACAAGUAUUUCCGGAUGAAGGGAGUAUAAG
rfam:Hordeum vulgare subsp. vulgare, WGS project CAJW01000000 data, contig: morex_contig_44903